rnacentral:rRNA from 1 species
AUGAAUCAAGUUGGCCAGCGGCCACCACCGCCGGUGCCGGAGCCACGCCCACCGCCGCCGAUGGGGAGCUGGAUCAGGAUCUUGCGCUCGGUGGCCUCUUCAUUGGGAUUAUCUCUCCGCUCUCUCAUGGUGCUACUUUGGCGCGCAUGCCGCUUACCGGCGGGCCAAGACGAGGAGGAGCACAAUGAGGCCAAGAACAAGAACAAGAAGCAAUCAACGACAGAUGGCCAGGACGAUGAGGAUCGCCGGAGGAGGAUGGAGAGGGAGGCCAGGAAUAAGGCCAAGGCGGAGGCCGAGGCGAAGGCCAAGGCGGAGGCCGAGAAGACCAAGGCGGAGGCGGAGGCGGAGAGGCAAGAGAAGGAGGCCAAGAAAAGGAAUGAGGAGGAGGAGGCGGCCAAGAAGGAGGUGGAGUAUGCCAGGAGGAAGAAGGCAGAGACCAAGAAGAAGGAGGAGGAGAAGCUUGCCGAGGCCAUCAAAAAGGACAAGGAGAAGAAGAAGGAGGAGACGAAGAGACGGCAGCGGGAGGACGCCGCGCGGAGGAAGGAGGAGGCCAGGAUGGAGGAGGAGGACAGGCAAAGGAGGCGGGAGGAGGCCCAGAGGAGGAAGGAGGCGGACAGGAACAAAGAUGAGUAUGAGAUCGAGAGGGACGCUCACAGGAGCUUUUGGGAUAUAAACCUUAGCAGCCUCAAGGAUAAUCGAAUGACCGUGUGUAUGAUCUGCUACUUUGAAAAAAAGGACUAUAAGUAUGGAUGUAACGACGACCAGAAGGAUCGCCAUAUCAGAAAUCUUCACAAAGCGGGAGUGGAACACUGCAAGAAACCGGGUUGCUUUGUGAUUGCCAAGGACAAGAGCCAGAUUGGUCAUCAUAUCAGCAAAUCGCACAAGGGAGUUGGGAUUGAACGUUGCAAGAAAAAGGGCUUCCUUGUUAUAGCCAAGGAGAGGAACAUCUUGCUCCAUAGUUUGAUGCUUCUGUAG